AGCUCCAGUUGAUCCGCUGCACUCCACCCCAGACAGCUAGACAUUUUGCUAAAAGAAGGAUCUUCCCUUGCCCAGGAAGAGCAGUGGGUGAGUGUAGCAAAUCCACUUUACCUGAUUUAAUUCUGCAUUUGUUUGUUCAAAUGUUGUCUGUGGACCUUUUUUGUUUUGUUGGGACCUAGUGUAAUGUGGUACGGAAUAAAAAACACUUCCCCAAAACCAAUCUGAAACAAACAACCACAGACUUGUGUCCAUUUUUCACUAUGCCUGUCGACAUUGAAAAUACUUGAUGUGGUGAAUGAAAGUGACGGGCUAAAGUUGGAAAUCUGAGACUGGUCUUGCAUCACUGAAGGUGAUAUUACGUAAGCGGAGGAAAAAUGCUGAUUAAUAUGCUGGUGCUAUGGUGACGUAGGGCAAUAAUGUAGGAGUAAAGGCCCCGAUAUACUUCAAACGAAAUCAAAGAACAAACUGAUAUGACGUCAUUUUGAACAAAAUCAGGCCGAAACGAAGUUCAUUUUGAGUUUGUUUCGGCAGUUCAAAACAGCUGACCAAAGCAAACUUUCUGGGGGAGUUCGUUUUGGCUCCUAAACACCUUUGACGGUUAUGCAGUCGGUGGGUGUGUACUGGAACUCCACCUUCUUUGUCGUGUGAUUUUUUUUUUUUUUUUUC
rnacentral:lncRNA from 1 species